rnacentral:rRNA from 1 species
GACGAACGCUGGCGGCGUGCCUAAUACAUGCAAGUAGAACGCUGAGGGAGGAGCUUGCUUCUCUGGAUGAGUUGCGAACGGGUGAGUAACGCGUAGGUAACCUGCCUGGUAGCGGGGGAUAACUAUUGGAAACGAUAGCUAAUACCGCAUAAUAUUGACUAUUGCAUGAUAGUCAGUUGAAAGGUGCAACUGCACCACUACCAGAUGGACCUGCGUUGUAUUAGCUAGUUGGUGGGGUAACGGCUCACCAAGGCGACGAUACAUAGCCGACCUGAGAGGGUGAUCGGCCACACUGGGACUGAGACACGGCCCAGACUCCUACGGGAGGCAGCAGUAGGGAAUCUUCGGCAAUGGACGGAAGUCUGACCGAGCAACGCCGCGUGAGUGGAGAAGGUUUUCGGAUCGUAAAGCUCUGUUGUAAGAGAAGAACGAGUGUGAGAGUGGAAAGCUCACACUGUGACGGUAUCUUACCAGAAAGGGACGGCUAACUACGUG